GAUGAACGCUGGCGGCGUGCCUAAUACAUGCAAGUCGAGCGAGCGGACGAGAAGCUUGCUUCUCUGAUGUUAGCGGCGGACGGGUGAGUAACACGUGGAUAACCUACCUAUAAGACUGGGAUAACUUCGGGAAACCGGAGCUAAUACCGGAUAAUACUUUGAACCGCAUGGUUCAAAAGUGAAAGACGGUCUUGCUGUCACUUAUAGAUGGAUCCGCGCUGCAUUAGCUAGUUGGUAAGGUAACGGCUUACCAAGGCAACGAUGCAUAGCCGACCUGAGAGGGUGAUCGGCCACACUGGAACUGAGACACGGUCCAGACUCCUACGGGAGGCAGCAGUAGGGAAUCUUCCGCAAUGGGCGAAAGCCUGACGGAGCAACGCCGCGUGAGUGAUGAAGGUCUUCGGAUCGUAAAACUCUGUUAUUAGGGAAGAACAUAUGUGUAAGUAACUGUGCACAUCUUGACGGUACCUAAUCAGAAAGCCACGGCUAACUACGUGCCAGCAGCCGCGGUAAUACGUAGGUGGCAAGCGUUAUCCGGAAUUAUUGGGCGUAAAGCGCGCGUAGGCGGUUUUUUAAGUCUGAUGUGAAAGCCCACGGCUCAACCGUGGAGGGUCAUUGGAAACUGGAAAACUUGAGUGCAGAAGAGGAAAGUGGAAUUCCAUGUGUAGCGGUGAAAUGCGCAGAGAUAUGGAGGAACACCAGUGGCGAAGGCGACUUUCUGGUCUGUAACUGACGCUGAUGUGCGAAAGCGUGGGGAUCAAACAGGAUUAGAUACCCUGGUAGUCCACGCCGUAAACGAUGAGUGCUAAGUGUUAGGGGGUUUCCGCCCCUUAGUGCUGCAGCUAACGCAUUAAGCACUCCGCCUGGGGAGUACGACCGCAAGGUUGAAACUCAAAGGAAUUGACGGGGACCCGCGCAAGCGGUGGAGCAUGUGGUUUAAUUCGAAGCAACGCGAAGAACCUUACCAAAUCUUGACAUCCUUUGACAACUCUAGAGAUAGAGCCUUCCCCUUCGGGGGACAAAGUGACAGGUGGUGCAUGGUUGUCGUCAGCUCGUGUCGUGAGAUGUUGGGUUAAGUCCCGCAACGAGCGCAACCCUUAAGCUUAGUUGCCAUCAUUAAGUUGGGCACUCUAAGUUGACUGCCGGUGACAAACCGGAGGAAGGUGGGGAUGACGUCAAAUCAUCAUGCCCCUUAUGAUUUGGGCUACACACGUGCUACAAUGGACAAUACAAAGGGCAGCGAAACCGCGAGGUCAAGCAAAUCCCAUAAAGUUGUUCUCAGUUCGGAUUGUAGUCUGCAACUCGACUACAUGAAGCUGGAAUCGCUAGUAAUCGUAGAUCAGCAUGCUACGGUGAAUACGUUCCCGGGUCU
rnacentral:rRNA from 1 species